rnacentral:rRNA from 1 species
GGUUAAGCGACUAAGCGUACACGGUGGAUGCCCUGGCAGUCAGAGGCGAUGAAGGACGUGCUAAUCUGCGAUAAGCGUCGGUGAGGUGAUAUGAACCGUUAUAACCGGCGAUUUCCGAAUGGGGAAACCCAGUGUGUUUCGACACACUAUCAUUAACUGAAUCCAUAGGUUAAUGAGGCGAACCGGGGGAACUGAAACAUCUAAGUACCCCGAGGAAAAGAAAUCAACCGAGAUUCCCCCAGUAGCGGCGAGCGAACGGGGAGGAGCCCAGAGCCUGAAUCAGUGUGUGUGUUAGUGGAAGCGUCUGGAAAGGCGCGCGAUACAGGGUGACAGCCCCGUACACAAAAAUGCACAUAUUGUGAGCUCGAUGAGUAGGGCGGGACACGUGGUAUCCUGUCUGAAUAUGGGGGGACCAUCCUCCAAGGCUAAAUACUCCUGACUGACCGAUAGUGAACCAGUACCGUGAGGGAAAGGCGAAAAGAACCCCGGCGAGGGGAGUGAAAAAGAACCUGAAACCGUGUACGUACAAGCAGUGGGAGCCUCUUAAUGGGGUGACUGCGUACCUUUUGUAUAAUGGGUCAGCGACUUAUAUUCUGUAGCAAGGUUAACCGAAUAGGGGAGCCGAAGGGAAACCGAGUCUUAACUGGGCGUUAAGUUGCAGGGUAUAGACCCGAAACCCGGUGAUCUAGCCAUGGGCAGGUUGAAGGUUGGGUAACACUAACUGGAGGACCGAACCGACUAAUGUUGAAAAAUUAGCGGAUGACUUGUGGCUGGGGGUGAAAGGCCAAUCAAACCGGGAGAUAGCUGGUUCUCCCCGAAAGCUAUUUAGGUAGCGCCUCGUGAAUUCAUCUCCGGGGGUAGAGCACUGUUUCGGCAAGGGGGUCAUCCCGACUUACCAACCCGAUGCAAACUGCGAAUACCGGAGAAUGUUAUCACGGGAGACACACGGCGGGUGCUAACGUCCGUCGUGAAGAGGGAAACAACCCAGACCGCCAGCUAAGGUCCCAAAGUCAUGGUUAAGUGGGAAACGAUGUGGGAAGGCCCAGACAGCCAGGAUGUUGGCUUAGAAGCAGCCAUCAUUUAAAGAAAGCGUAAUAGCUCACUGGUCGAGUCGGCCUGCGCGGAAGAUGUAACGGGGCUAAACCAUGCACCGAAGCUGCGGCAGCGACACUAUGUGUUGUUGGGUAGGGGAGCGUUCUGUAAGCCUGUGAAGGUGGCCUGUGAGGGUUGCUGGAGGUAUCAGAAGUGCGAAUGCUGACAUAAGUAACGAUAAAGCGGGUGAAAAGCCCGCUCGCCGGAAGACCAAGGGUUCCUGUCCAACGUUAAUCGGGGCAGGGUGAGUCGACCCCUAAGGCGAGGCCGAAAGGCGUAGUCGAUGGGAAACAGGUUAAUAUUCCUGUACUUGGUGUUACUGCGAAGGGGGGACGGAGAAGGCUAUGUUGGCCGGGCGACGGUUGUCCCGGUUUAAGCGUGUAGGCUGGUUUUCCAGGCAAAUCCGGAAAACCAAGGCUGAGGCGUGAUGACGAAGCACUACGGUGCUGAAGCGACAAAUGCCCUGCUUCCAGGAAAAGCCUCUAAGCAUCAGGUAACAUCAAAUCGUACCCCAAACCGACACAGGUGGUCAGGUAGAGAAUACCAAGGCGCUUGAGAGAACUCGGGUGAAGGAACUAGGCAAAAUGGUGCCGUAACUUCGGGAGAAGGCACGCUGAUAUGUAGGUGAAGCGACUUGCUCGUGGAGCUGAAAUCAGUCGAAGAUACCAGCUGGCUGCAACUGUUUAUUAAAAACACAGCACUGUGCAAACACGAAAGUGGACGUAUACGGUGUGACGCCUGCCCGGUGCCGGAAGGUUAAUUGAUGGGGUUAGCGGCAACGCGAAGCUCUUGAUCGAAGCCCCGGUAAACGGCGGCCGUAACUAUAACGGUCCUAAGGUAGCGAAAUUCCUUGUCGGGUAAGUUCCGACCUGCACGAAUGGCGUAAUGAUGGCCAGGCUGUCUCCACCCGAGACUCAGUGAAAUUGAACUCGCUGUGAAGAUGCAGUGUACCCGCGGCAAGACGGAAAGACCCCGUGAACCUUUACUAUAGCUUGACACUGAACAUUGAGCCUUGAUGUGUAGGAUAGGUGGGAGGCUUUGAAGUGUGGACGCCAGUCUGCAUGGAGCCGACCUUGAAAUACCACCCUUUAAUGUUUGAUGUUCUAACGUUGGCCCGUAAUCCGGGUUGCGGACAGUGUCUGGUGGGUAGUUUGACUGGGGCGGUCUCCUCCUAAAGAGUAACGGAGGAGCACGAAGGUUGGCUAAUCCUGGUCGGACAUCAGGAGGUUAGUGCAAUGGCAUAAGCCAGCUUGACUGCGAGCGUGACGGCGCGAGCAGGUGCGAAAGCAGGUCAUAGUGAUCCGGUGGUUCUGAAUGGAAGGGCCAUCGCUCAACGGAUAAAAGGUACUCCGGGGAUAACAGGCUGAUACCGCCCAAGAGUUCAUAUCGACGGCGGUGUUUGGCACCUCGAUGUCGGCUCAUCACAUCCUGGGGCUGAAGUAGGUCCCAAGGGUAUGGCUGUUCGCCAUUUAAAGUGGUACGCGAGCUGGGUUUAGAACGUCGUGAGACAGUUCGGUCCCUAUCUGCCGUGGGCGCUGGAGAACUGAGGGGGGCUGCUCCUAGUACGAGAGGACCGGAGUGGACGCAUCACUGGUGUUCGGGUUGUCAUGCCAAUGGCACUGCCCGGUAGCUAAAUGCGGAAGAGAUAAGUGCUGAAAGCAUCUAAGCACGAAACUUGCCCCGAGAUGAGUUCUCCCUGAGACUUAGAGUCUCCUGAAGGAACGUUGAAGACGACGACGUUGAUAGGCCGGGUGUGUAAGCGCAGCGAUGCGUUGAGCUAACCGGUACUAAUGAACCGUGAGGCUUAACCUU